GAGUUUGAUCAUGGCUCAGAUUGAACGCUGGCGGCAGGCCUAACACAUGCAAGUCGAGCGGAUGACGGGAGCUUGCUCCUUGAUUCAGCGGCGGACGGGUGAGUAAUGCCUAGGAAUCUGCCUGGUAGUGGGGGACAACGUUUCGAAAGGAACGCUAAUACCGCAUACGUCCUACGGGAGAAAGCAGGGGACCUUCGGGCCUUGCGCUAUCAGAUGAGCCUAGGUCGGAUUAGCUAGUUGGUGGGGUAAUGGCUCACCAAGGCGACGAUCCGUAACUGGUCUGAGAGGAUGAUCAGUCACACUGGAACUGAGACACGGUCCAGACUCCUACGGGAGGCAGCAGGUGGGGAAUAGUUGGACAAGUGGGACGAAAGCCUGAUCCAGCCAUGCCGCGUGUGUGAAGAAGGUCUUCGGAUUAGUAAAGCUAACGUUUAA
rnacentral:rRNA from 1 species